rnacentral:misc_RNA from 1 species
AAGUCAUAACAAGGUUUCCGUAGGUGAACCUGCGGAAGGAUCAUUAGUGAAUCGGCCCCCCGUGGCCUUCAUCACAUCCUCACACCUCUGUGAACCGUUGGGGCCUUGGCCCACCUUUAUACAAACUAUUGAUUGUCAUGAACGUAUGUUGCAUAAACAAACAAGA